rnacentral:rRNA from 1 species
GAUGAACGCUGGCGACGUGCCUAACACAUGCAAGUCGAGCGGAGAAUUGUUGCUUGCAACAAUUCUUAGCGGCGGACGGGUGAGUAACACGUGGGUAACCUGCCCUAAACAAAGGGAUAACAAUGAGAAAUCAUUGCUAAUACCGUAUAAGCUUACACUAUCGCAUGAUAGAGUAAGAAAAGAUUUAUCGGUUUAGGAGGGGCCCGCGUCUGAUUAGCUAGUUGGAGAGGUAACGGCUCACCAAGGCGACGAUCAGUAGCCGACCUGAGAGGGUGAUCGGCCACAUUGGGACUGAGACACGGCCCAAACUCCUACGGGAGGCAGCAGUGGGGAAUAUUGCACAAUGGAGGAAACUCUGAUGCAGCAACGCCGCGUGAAGGAAGAAGGUUUUCGGAUCGUAAACUUCUAUCUACAGGGAAGAAAAAAAUGACGGUACCUGAGGAAGAAGCCCCGGCUAACUACGUG